UACGUAGGGUGCGAGCGUUAAUCGGAAUUACUGGGCGUAAAGCGUGCGCAGGCGGUUGUGCAAGACAGAUGUGAAAUCCCCGGGCCCAACCUGGGAAUUGCAUUUGUGACUGCACGGCUAGAGUGUGUCAGAGGGGGGUAGAAUUCCACGUGUAGCAGUGAAAUGCGUAGAGAUGUGGAGGAAUACCGAUGGCGAAGGCAGCCCCCUGGGAUAACACUGACGCUCAUGCACGAAAGCGUGGGGAGCAAACAGG
rnacentral:rRNA from 1 species